ACAACACCCUCGUGAUAUAAAAGUAAAUAAUCGUGCACGGGGAGGCGGGGGAAGGGGUGAAUUCAGCAAUGUUAAAAGCUAAACAACAGAUCUGUCUCCGGACGCUGCUACUUCACUCAAUUGCAACUAAUAACCCAUUAAAGACAGCGCAGGGGGAACCGAAUUCGCUCCUGCAAAGCGACAUAAAUCCAGCGAAAACCCAUUAAACCACCGCCACCGCCACCAAGCCACGCAGUACUACACACCACAGCAAACAACAGUGAAGGCGAUGGUUACUGCUGUCAAUCUUGGCAAUCAAUGUGAGCGGCCAUGUCUGAACACCCGCCGUGCGGAUCCGUAUACACGUGCCGAGAAACAAGAAAACGCUUUCCCUUGGAGUGUUACCCCACGUUUAGAAACCGCGUUUGGAAUUACUGUCCUUGCUUUGGCUUCAUGAAGGCUAAAGGCACGCAGAUGUUGAACAGGGAUGCUGACCUGCUGGGGGUCCCUGUGCAGGGAAGGGACCGCAGGCGCUCACAUCACGUCGAGGCACUUACCUGUGCACAGCUGUCAUGGCAUUUUGCGCCCUGUGUGCCACUAAAUGCGUUAAAGUAAAGCAAUAUUCAACAAGAGAGGCAAGCUGUCUGUGUGCUAAGUUGUACGUACCGCAUCGUUAACCUGAGCAGCAAACCUGCAACUCCUGGAGAGUUGGCGGAACAGUCUCAGAAGUUUUGGAUUCAAAGGGCAAGGAAUUUCACUUUAAAAGUCAUUCACCCACUUCUAAACUGCCCUCUCACCCCAGUUAAUGCCGGACAAUUAAGAGGCACGUUUAUAAAUUCCCUCUGCGGACACUGUCCGACAAUGAAGGCUUGUUACAGGCUUGCUGAAGAUGUUCAGAGAAACUUUUGCGAAAUAAUCAACAGCAUCUGAGAGAAAGCUAAAGGGAAAGAAGUUAAAGCCUGAUAAUCCGAUUGGGAAAAAGUUUUGUUAGACUAGCUAGAAGUAAAUUACUGCACGUUUCUUCAAAAGCAAACCCAUCAGCUGAUACGAAUUCCCCUAGAACAAGAACCUCUAGCGAACACCUCCAAAUUCAGGGGACGUUUGCAUUUUGUAACACCCAAAGCUCAAGAUCUGCCUGAAAACAAAAACUCUGAAUUCCUUACAGAGUCAUCUGCCAACAAAAUGUAUUGUCUUGGCAGAAAGAGGAUCAAGGAGAUUUUAAUUUCAUUUUAAACUGUGCAUCAUCUUGAUAGCGAAGGAAAAAGCCGCAGCAACAAUAUCCCCGCUCCACGCCCCCGCCGUUCAAAAAAAAAAAAAAAAGGGGGGGGGGGGA